AGAGCCUGAAAGGCAAUCGCUUGAAGGUUUCUUUAAGAGGAAAGUCCGGGCAACAUAGAGCAAGGUAGUCGCUAACAGCGACCGUCCGCAAGGAUAGGGAAAGUACCACAGAAACAUAUACCGCCAGUUUUGGUAAGGGUGAAAAGAGUGAGGUAAGAGCUCACAGCAUACGGUAGCGAUACAGUGUGACGGCAAACCCUACUUGUUGCAAGGAGUGCUAUCAGCUUCUGCUCGAAGACGCACGCUCACCGCUAGAGUGCUAUAGCAAUGUAGCGCCAAGAUAGAUGAUUGCCGACUAUAUAAUAUAUAGUCACAGAACCCGGCUUAAUGAAGGCUCAUAUC
rnacentral:RNase_P_RNA from 1 species